rnacentral:rRNA from 1 species
UACAUGGGGUGCAAACGUUGCUCGGAAUUAUUGGGCGUAAAGCGCACGUAGGUGGUUUGUUAUGUCGGAUGUGAAAGCCCUCGGCUCAACUGAGGAAGUGCAUCCGAAACUGGCAAGCUAGAGUAUGUAAGAGGGUCGCGGAAUUCCCGGUGUAGAGGUGAAAUUCGUAGAUAUGGGGAGGAACACCGGUGGUGAAGGCGACCAUCUGGACGGAUACUGACGCUGAGACGCGAAAGCGUGGGUAGCAAACAGG